AGAGUUUGAUCCUGGCUCAGGAUGAACGCUAGCUACAGGCUUAACACAUGCAAGUCGAGGGGAAACGACAUCGAAAGCUUGCUUUUGAUGGGCGUCGACCGGCGCACGGGUGAGUAACGCGUAUCCAACCUGCCCACCACUUGGGGAUAACCUUGCGAAAGUAAGACUAAUACCCAAUGACGUCUCUAGAAGACAUCUGAAAGAGAUUAAAGAUUUAUCGGUGAUGGAUGGGGAUGCGUCUGAUUAGCUUGUUGGCGGGGUAACGGCCACCAAGGCGACGAUCAGUAGGGGUUCUGAGAGGAAGGUCCCCCACAUUGGAACUGAGACACGGUCCAAACUCCUACGGUUAGGCA
rnacentral:rRNA from 1 species